rnacentral:rRNA from 1 species
UACAGAGGUCUCGAGCGUUGUUCGGAUUCAUUGGGCGUAAAGGGUGCGUAGGUGGUCAGGUAAGUCGGAUGUGAAAUCCCGGGCUCAACCUCGGAACUGCAUUCGAUACUGCCUGACUGGAGUACUGGAGAGGAGAUUGGAAUUUACGGUGUAGCAGUGAAAUGCGUAGAUAUCGUAAGGAAGACCAGUGGCGAAGGCGGAUCUCUGGACAGUUACUGACGCUGAGGCACGAAGGCCAGGGAGCAAACGGG